rnacentral:rRNA from 1 species
UACGAGGGGGGCGAGCGUUGUUCGGAAUUAUUGGGCGUAAAGGGGGCGUAGGCGGUUUGGUAAGUCUUGUGUGAAAUCUACAGGCUCAACUUGUAGUCUGCACGAGAAACUGCCGGGCUUGAGUAUGGGAGAGGUGAGUGGAAUUCCUGGUGUAGCGGUGAAAUGCGUAGAUAUCAGGAGGAACACCUGUGGCGACAGCGGCUCACUGGACCAUAACUGACGCUGAUGCACGAAAGCUAGGGGAGCAAACAGG